UAUAACUCUUGGGAGAUAUAACAGUAAUGAUUAAGAACUUCAUUAUUCAUCUAAACUCAAAGCAAACAUGACCUUCAUCAGCGUCUUCAUCUGGAUGUUAUCUGUCUUCUGUUUCAGAGAAUCAAGAGGUCAAGUGACGGUCAUUCAGACACCUGCAGUGAAAUCUGUUGAUCCAGGAGACACAGUUACUAUCACCUGUAAAACCAGUCCUGAAGUCUAUCAGGGUUUGGGGGGUUCAGCCUCUGUCCUGGUAUCAGCAGAAACCUGGAGAAGCUCCUAAACUCCUCAUAUAUCUGACCGACAGCCUUCAGUCUGGAACUCCAUCUAGAUUCAGUGGCAGUGGAUCUAAAACAGAUUUCACUCUGAGCAUCAGUGGAGUUCAGACUGAAGAUGCACGACAUUAUUACUGUCAGAGUUUUCACAGCUUUGCUAGCAAUGUGUUCACACAGUGAUAAAGAGUCGUACAAAAACCUCCAUCAGUCAGACAAUGACAGACACGCAUGCACACACACUCACACUCGCACACACACUCACACUCACUAACACACACCCCUUCACACCCA